rnacentral:rRNA from 1 species
GACGAACGCUGGCGGCGUGCCUAAUACAUGCAAGUAGAACGCUGAAGGAGGAGCUUGCUUCUCUGGAUGAGUUGCGAACGGGUGAGUAACGCGUAGGUAACCUGCCUGGUAGCGGGGGAUAACUAUUGGAAACGAUAGCUAAUACCGCAUAAGAGUAGAUGUUGCAUGACAUUUGCUUAAAAGGUGCAAUUGCAUCACUACCAGAUGGACCUGCGUUGUAUUAGCUAGUUGGUGAGGUAACGGCUCACCAAGGCGACGAUACAUAGCCGACCUGAGAGGGUGAUCGGCCACACUGGGACUGAGACACGGCCCAGACUCCUACGGGAGGCAGCAGUAGGGAAUCUUCGGCAAUGGACGGAAGUCUGACCGAGCAACGCCGCGUGAGUGAAGAAGGUUUUCGGAUCGUAAAGCUCUGUUGUAAGAGAAGAACGAGUGUGAGAGUGGAAAGUUCACACUGUGACGGUAUCUUACCAGAAAGGGACGGCUAACUACGUGCCAGCAGCCGCGGUAAUACGUAGGUCCCGAGCGUUGUCCGGAUUUAUUGGGCGUAAAGCGAGCGCAGGCGGUUAGAUAAGUCUGAAGUUAAAGGCUGUGGCUUAACCAUAGUACGCUUUGGAAACUGUUUAACUUGAGUGCAAGAGGGGAGAGUGGAAUUCCAUGUGUAGCGGUGAAAUGCGUAGAUAUAUGAAGGAACACCGGUGGCGAAAGCGGCUCUCUGGCUUGUAACUGACGCUGAGGCUCGAAAGCGUGGGGAGCAAACAGG